UGGGGAAUAUUGGACAAUGGGCGCAAGCCUGAUCCAGCCAUGCCGCGUGAGUGAUGAAGGCCUUAGGGUUGUAAAGCUCUUUUAGCGGGGACGAUAAUGACGGUACCCGCAGAAAAAGCCCCGGCUAACUUCGUGCCAGCAGCCGCGGUAAUACGAAGGGGGCUAGCGUUGCUCGGAAUCACUGGGCGUAAAGCGCACGUAGGUGGGUCGCUAAGUCGGGGGUGAAAUCCUGGAGCUCAACUCCAGAACUGCCUUCGAUACUGGCGAUCUUUGAGUCCGGGAGAGGUGGGUGGAACUGCGAGUGUAGAGGUGAAAUUCGUAGAUAUUCGCAAGAACACCAGUGGCGAAGGCGGCUCACUGGCCCGGUACUGACACUGAGGUGCGAAAGCGUGGGGAGCAAACAGG
rnacentral:rRNA from 1 species